UCUGUGUGGUCUCUGACCUUGGGAUUUUUCUGGGAGGGAAAGACAGGAGACACCUUUGAUUUAGAUGCAUGAAAAGGGAUUGUGCUUGCAAGUAGCCUCGUUCAGUGGCAUGUGUGCUACACGGCCAGGGCUAAGGCAGGAGCACUCAGACUCCCUUCAUCCCCCCGUUCAUCCCUGCCAGGACUUGCUACAUCAAACCGAAAUCACCCCACUCCUCACUUUCCCCUCAUUAUGGUUGUCGCUGUUUGUUUGUUUUACAGCAGUGCCCAGGGGCAUCUGUCAGGGAUCAGCCCUGGCUGGGGAGAGCGCCUGGCCACCCACAGAGGGGGACAUGUCCUGCCGCAUGUGGGUGCAACAGGCAAAUUCCAGGAGCUUCAGUGAAACAGAGAGGCAGCAUCAUGGGUGCCAUGGGAGCAGAGUUUUCACAGUGUUUCUGUUACCUUACCUGAUCCUGAAUGCAGCCAUCAGCAAAGUCUAGGGCAAUGGCAGGACAAGGGGUGAUGGUUUUAAACUAAGGGAGGAGAGAUUCAGGCUGGACACGAGGAAGAAAUUGUUGCCCCUGAGGGUGGUGAGAGCCUGGCCCAGGUUGGCCAGAGAGGUGGUGGAUGAACCAUCCCUGGAGACAUCCCAGGCCAGGCUGGACGGGGCUCUGAGCAACCUGAGCUGGUGAAGAUGUCCCUGCUCAUGGCAGGGGUGGCACUGGGUGAGCUUUGGAGGUCCCUUCCAACCCAAACUACUCUAUAAUUCUAUGAUAUCUCCAUGCACAAAAGUCCACACAGUCUGAAUCAAGCAGCGAUGGGACAAUCUCUAUUAGAAGCCAGGAAGGGAGGGGGCGAAUGCUGCUUGAGUUGAACACCUUCCAUCAGCACCGAGGACCCUGCCAGCUACAACCUUUUCAUUAAUUUAAACUUUAAAUAGCACCAGCAGUGUUUAUCCGAAGUUAACAGCACAAAGCAGCGUGGUUGCGUGUGUCCGUGGGCUGCUGCAGGUGUAGCUGCUAGCGCUGCUGCCACGCUGAUGGAUUUUAUAUGACCCCAAGGCUUCUGUCACCAGAGACCCUGCAGUCAGCUCUGUACAGUCACCUGGGCUUAGAGGCAGGGAGCACUAAUACCCUUUGUUCGCCAGGUAAAUUCUAUUUCCCUUUCCAUUGUGCCGUGCGGGUUGUCAAUGUAACAUUACACCCGGGGUAGGAGACUUGGACAAAGAAACUUCAAUGCAGGCUGGCAAAUUACAAUCCUUUACUUGUGAAUGGGGACGUCAUCAGAGAUGGGCUGGAGCAAUGCACCUGGUGUAAAUAAUUACAUGCUUGAAAUGGGGGAAAAGGGCUGAAGGCAAGCUAAAUGCCAGGUGAUUGUUUUGGAUGGCAAAGGAAGGAGUUUUCAUGCAGGAAGAACAAAUGCCCUGCUCGGGAGUCUGCUGGUGAUGGAACGAUUAAUCUUUUCUCUUUUCCUUCUCAUUCUUUUCUUGACUUUUGGGGGGUUUUGUUCAUCAUCCACUACCUCCCCCUUUUGUUCUCACUCCCAGAGCAACACCUGGAGGUAGGGGCUGCCUUAGGAAAGGAACCCCACAGUGGCUUAUUCCAACCAAGAUUGUAUUUCAAAUAACCCGAGUUUUCAUUUUUUCUAAGACCCCUUUGAUCUACAAACUACCCUUUAAAGGACUGAAACAGGAAUCUGAAUGCCAGUGACUUUGCCUUACCAGCCAUCUGAGCUGGAUUUCUUAGACCUGCAGCAACUAUGCUGUGCUCAACUAGAGUUAUAUAAGUGAUGGUGGUGGUCCUUGAGCUUACCAUGAUCAGAGAUCUUUUUUUGGCAAUUCUCUGUGCCUUCUGCACUGCAAGAAUCAAACAAGCCCAUAUGGGUGAAAUAUGAAAUACAGAAACACCCUUUCUUGAGAGAGUAAUGCUGUAUUCUUUUUCUUGAGAAGUAAAGGAGGAUUUUUAGGGGGUUCUGCAUAAACUCUGGCUCUCAGUAAUGUGUGUGCACCGGCAAACAUUCAUCUCAGUUCCAUCCCUCAUCCCCACACAGGUGGGAAGAAUGAUGUAGCUGUACUCAGUGUUUCUAUGUUCCUGGGUUUGUGCUGCAGUGAGCUACACCUUUUCCCUCUAACUGGGAACUGGGGCUGUUUAACCUGGAGAACAGGAGGCUGAGGGGAGAUCUUAUCGCUGUCUACAUCUACCUGACAGAAGGUUGUAGCAUGGAGGGUGUUGGUCUCUUCUCCCAGGUAGCAAGUGAUAGGAUGAGAGGAAAUGGCCUCAAGUUGCACCGGGGAGGUUUACAUUGGAUAUUACGAAAAAAUUCUCCCCAGAAAAGGUUGUCAGGCAUUGGGGCAAGCUGCCCAGGGAAGUGGUGGAGUCACCGUCCCUGGAGGGGUUUAAAAGAUGUUUAGACGAGAUUCUUAGAGACGUGGUUUAGUGCUAGAGUUAGGUUAGGUUACAGUUGGACUCGAUGAACCUGAGGGUCUCUUCCAACCAAAAUGAUUCUAUGAUUCUAAAUGUUUUCUAUUAUACCAGUUGCCUCUGGACUGAUACAGAAGCUGUUGGUCUGUGGACAACUCCAGCCUGCCUUGCAAGCCUGCAUCUCCAGAACAGAUCACAAAGAGUUGCCACGAUGCUUCCAUCCCACUUCUGGACACGCAUGUGCAUGAUUCAGUUGGGAGGAAGACGUGUGCUCAACCAGGGCAUAAUACCACACAUCCACCAUGGGUUAUGGUGCUUUACAUCUGUUAAUAUGUUUCUAAUACAGCUGCGAUCAUGGAAAGCACGUCCCUUAGGCACUGUUUAUGCUGAAAAUUAGACAGCAAUUUAAGAAGAAUAACCGAGCAGAUCUGAGAAGUGCUGCUGGAUAAAAUAGGCAGUAGUUAUUUCUUUGAGUGGACUGUCCCCUGUUUGCUCAGUAGAGUGCUGAACUUGGGUAAUUUAAAGGAAAAAAAGAAACCCCAAAGACAGCAAAGUAGUUGUUUCUAAGCAGGAACUCUUCCCACCAGUGCAAAAGGCUUUACUGACACCAGGAGCCAUAAAUUACAUCACUUGCUCUCAGCUUCUGCGAAGCAGGUCUACUGAUGGUAGAUUGGGUCACCAGGAGCAGGUAGCAUAAUGAGCGCUAUCUAAUUAAUGUCCAUGAUCUCUGACGUCAAGUUUGUAGCCCGGGAAUGUGAAUGGAGGGACUUUUACCCAUAAUUGUGGGUUGUUUCUCCUUCCCUUCAGCCAAAGGCAAAAUCCUGCCUGGGGAAACCCAGCUUCGUGCUGGAGGAGGAGAGGAAAGACUUGCUGUUGUUUGGAGAAGCAACAGACACAGUAAUGGGGAAAGACAAGAGACGGCAAACAGCAAGAAGACACCAGCACGGGGCUGUGUUGGCACCCAAGCCUUGAAAUAUGGGGGACGAAAAAACCAGCAGGGGCUGCUCAAGGAGCACCGAGCACCCAUAAAUGAUCAAUCUGUUCAACCAAGGCUUUCCAGCCCAAACAAGGUACAAAUCUUGUCUCACUCUUAUUAGCUCAUUGCGAGCCAGAAAAAGGAGAUAAAGACCUUAUCACUUAAGGCAACAGUCUGGAAUUGAACUGCACUUCAUCGCUUUUUGUGCACAAGGAAGCCAGCGCCAGCGUUGAAUAAAGGGGUUUUGCAUUCUGCUCUCCUGACUGCUCUGAGACCAGUUUGCUCUUCAGCCUUUGUACAAGGUUCAGGUGUGCUGGGACAGGCCUACGAAUCUGGGACAGGCUGGGGUGGGAUGCAUGGUCUGAAGGGUAGGCUGUUGUGUAGAGUGUGUUGUGGUAACAUGGUUUUGUUAGAGUGAUGUUCAACGUGUCCUAAUUUCUUCACAGCCGUAUGUCACCCACAUUUGUGCUGACACAUUUCACAGUGAAUUUUGGCCAAGCAGAGCGAACGCUGAUGCUUUUGUGUGAUGUUGUGGAUCAAGUUCUACUCCCUUUAGUCGGGUAAAAUGUCUCUUUGAAGCCACCUGGAGAAAGUGAAUUGGAUUCAUGUUGUUACUUGGGGGACCGGCUAUGAAUUCAAGCAGUUGCUUUAGUUAGUCUGAGUUGUAAUCUUCAUAAUCAUUGAUAGAUUUUGAAAACUUCAUGAUUAAAUCAUAGAAUCAUAGAAUCAUUUUGGUUGGAAGAGACCCUUAAGAUCUUCGAGCCCAAACAUAACCUAAAUCUGGCACUAAACCACGUCCCUAAGAACCUCUAAUUAGAUGCUACUGGUGAGACGGUCAAGUUCAUGGCAGUCCCCCAGCCUUGGGCUCGUGUUCUAAGCACAGAAGCGAGUUAGUGUCUUUCUCUCCCUGACUCACAGGGGUGAGGCACACACAAGUGUUGUGGCAAAGUAAAUGAAAGUGGGUUCUUCCUGCUAGGUAACUAAAAGGCUGUAAUUUUCCUGGGUGCAAGCUCUAACCCCAGAGUAAGCACCUGCAGCAUCACACAACCCAUUCGUGUUUGCCUUCACCAGCUCCUGCAGAAAUGCAUUACUGCAGGGAAACAGGCUCUCCGGCAAUAAAAGGUAGUACAGACCACCUCCAUUCCCAUCUGACACUUUUCCUGCCACACAUCUUUGGCUUCCAGUGUCCCUCUUAUCUUUCCCAGUUUCUAACAUACUCCUUGUUGCAGAUGCAGCUGUUGCCAGAAUCUGCCACUGCAAAGCUGAAUGAGACCUUUGUGGACACUGAUCCCCAGGUGUGAAUGGGAGAAGACAAAAUGAGAGACAAUCGUGGGACAGAAAAACCGGCAUGGACAGGAGGAUAAGAUGACAGGCAGAAAUAGCUCUAAGCAAAUGUCUUAGUCCCUCUUCCAGCACUAACCAGUUUCUGGACACAAGGUCGGUCCCAUCUGGUGGUGUUUUCCCAAUGGACACAUAAAACUAUGAAAAAAUCUGUGACCCUCCUGGCUGUACCUGUGUUGCCCUUGCAGGAGGAAUGAGUUGUGUGGGGCAGGAAGAUCAUGAGAGAAGUGGGACAUGUCUUUCAAAGCCAGGUUUAGUUUCUAGUGCCUGGAGAAGCUUCCAGGCUUCUUCAGGAGAGAAGUUCUUGCCACACCAUGCCAGGUCUGUGCAGCACAAGGACAUGAGGAAGGGCAGUAGGGCAGACUAUGCCCUUGACUGCUCUGAAGUGACACCCUCUUGCCUGCUCUCCUCACCAAGAAAGAUGGAACUCAAUCCCUUCCUCCAGUGAGGGGAACUAAUUCCCAGCUCAUAUUCCACCUCUUUAUCUUCCUGCCUUGCCAUGCAAUGGAUCUUCUGCUUGGCUGUAUCCUCAUUGGUGCAGCACUGGAGACACAUCACUUUUUCUUGCUGUGGGUUUUUCUUACCUGGAGAAACUUGUGAAACACCCAACUGCCUCCACACAAAGUCUAAGAUAAGGGGAUAAGUACUGUGUGAGGAAUAUACCCGAGCAUCAGUCAUCACACUUAUUUUGCAAAAAAUAUGCAGGCACCAGCUAGGGCUUCAAAUAGACUCCUAGGGACUCCUUUGCUAGGUAACAGAUAAGAAAUACUGCUAAUAAAAAAGCAUGUUGUCCACCCACUGCUGAAAAACACAGGAAUCCUAAAGGUAGAGGAAGAACUGGGGAGUCACAGGGAUGGAACAAGCAGCCCCUCAGUGCAGAAUCACAGAAUCACAGAAUCAUUUUGGUUGGAAAAAGCAUUUAAGACCAUUAAGUCCAUCCAGUAACCUCACACUGCCAAGUCCACCAUUAAACCAGGUCCCUAAGAACCUCAUCUCCAUGUCUUUUAAACCCCUCCGGGGAUGGUGACUCCACCACUGCCCUGGGCAGCCUGUUCCAAUACCCAACAACCUUUUCCAUGAAGAAAUUUUUCCUGAUAUCCUCAUCAGACUUGUGCUCCAGCCCCCUCACCAGCAUGGGCAAGUCUUGCUCAGGGCUGUCCAGACAGUUGCUGUUCCUUAUUGCAAGGGUUUUUUUCAUGGCUAAGAGAAAAAGCCUAGACUUAGACAUGCAAACUGGAGAACACAAUAUGUGUUUCAUAUCCCAGACUAUCCUUGACCCACUAAAAGGAGAAGCAGAUCUGCAUCUCAGGGAUUCUUUCCUGACUCGUCUUGAUCUCCCUUAUUAAUAAAUUUAUGGCCUCUGAGAUGACUCGGCCAGACUGUGUUCUUGUCUAAAUUUAGCAGUCAAUUUGGUUUAUUGCUUCAGGGCUGCACUGAAGAAAAAUCAACAAAAAAGCAUCCUCUCUUUUUUUUAUCACUGGAGUUGAAAGUGCAUUUGUGUGAAAAUGGAUCUGAGCUUGGAAAUAACAGCAAUUAAUGAUUUAUUAAGCACACACUGGGGACGAGCUUUACAAAAAAUACAAAAUAAACUAAAAAUCACAUCACAAUUCUUUUCCUGAGAGUCACUUGUUCCUCCUUUGUCUGCUUGUUGUCUGUGUUUUGCACAGGGUUUGCCAACAGCAUCACCUGUGCUGCCAUCCAGCGAGACCUGGACAGGCCGGAGAGUUGGGCGGGAAAAAAUGUAAUUAAAUACAACAAGGAAAAGUGUAGAGUCUUGUAUCUGGGCAGGAACAACCCCAGGUUCCAGUAUAAGUUGGGGAAUGACAUAUUAGAGAGCAGCAUAGGGGAAAGGGACCUGGGGGCCCUGGCGGACAGCAGGAUGAC